rnacentral:piRNA from 1 species
UGACAACAUGCAUUUCCCUUCCCCUUGUCCU